rnacentral:rRNA from 1 species
UGAAUACGAGACGCUAAGGCGUCGAAGUAGUGUAUGUCAUACUUCCAAGAAAAGCUUGCACUGUCAUAGAUAAAAAACGCCUGUACCAUAACCGACACAGGUGGGUAGGUAGAGUAUACUAAGGGGCGCGAGAUAACUCUCUCUAAGGAACUCGGCAAAAUAACUCCGUAACUUCGGGAGAAGGAGUGCCUUAUUCGUAAGGUUGCAAUAACAAGGUCCAAGCAACUGUUUAUCAAAAACACAGGUCUCCGCUAAGUCGUAAGACGAUGUAUGGGGGCUGACGCCUGCCCAGUGCCAGAAGGUUAAAGAAGUUGGUUAGCAAUUGCGAAGCUGAUAACUGAAGCCCUGGUGAACGGCGGCCGUAACUAUAACGGUCCUAAGGUAGCGAAAUUCCUUGUCGGGUAAGUUCCGACCCGCACGAAAGGCGUAAUGAUUUGGAUACUGUCUCGGAGAGGGGCUCGGUGAAAUAGACUUGUCUGUGAAGAUGCGGACUACCUGCACCAGGACAGAAAGACCCUAUGAAGCUUUACUGUAACUUGAAAUUGAAAUUGGACUUUAUUCGCGCAGUAUAGGUGGGAGGCGUUGAUUAUAAUCUUGUGGGAUUAUUGGAGCCAUCAGUGAGAUACCACUCUUGUAAUGUUAGAUUUCUAACUUUGAAUCAUUAUCUGGUCAAAGAACAGUUUCAGGCGGGCAGUUUGACUGGGGCGGUCGCCUCCUAAACGGUAACGGAGGCGUACAAAGGUUUCCUCUGAACGGUUAGAAAUCGUAUCUAGAGUGUAAAGGCAUAAGGAAGCUUGACUGUGAGACCUACAAGUUGAGCAGGGACGAAAGUCGGUCUUAGUGAUCUGACGGUACUGAGUGGAAAGGCCGUCACUCAACGGAUAAAAGUUACUCUAAGGAUAACAGGCUGAUCUCCCCCAAGAGUUCACAUCGACGGGGAGGUUUGGCACCUCGAUGUCGGCUCAUCGCAUCCUGGGGCGGUAGUACGUCCCAAGGGUUGGGCUGUUCGCCCAUGAAAGCGGUACGCGAGCUGGGUUCAGAACGUCGUGAGACAGUUCGGUCCAUAUCCGGUGUAGGCGUUAGAAUAUUGAGAGGAGCCUUCUUUAGUACGAGAGGACCGAGAAGGACAUACCUCUGGUGUACCAGUUAUCGUGCCAACGGUAAACGCUGGGUAGCUAUGUAUGGAGUGGAUAACCGCUGAAAGCAUCUAAGUGGGAAGCCCACCUCAAGAUAAA